rnacentral:rRNA from 1 species
CCUACGGGCGGCAGCAGUGAGGAAUAUUGGUCAAUGGACGCAAGUCUGAACCAGCCAUGCCGCGUGCAGGAAGACGGCUCUAUGAGUUGUAAACUGCUUUUGUACGAGGGUAAACGCAGAUACGCGUAUCUGUCUGCAAGUAUCGUACGAAUAAGGAUCGGCUAACUCCGUGCCAGCAGCCGCGGUAAUACGGAGGAUUCAAGCGUUAUCCGGAUUUAUUGGGUUUAAAGGGUGCGUAGGCGGUCGGAUAAGUUAGAGGUGAAAUCCCGAGGCUCAACGUCGGAAUUGCCGCUGAUACUGUUCGGCUAGAGAGUAGUUGCGGUAGGCGGAAUGUAUGGUGUAGCGGUGAAAUGCUUAGAGAUCAUACAGAACACCGAUUGCGAAGGCAGCUUACCAAGCUACUUCUGACGUUGAGGCACGAAAGCGUGGGGAGCAAACAGGAUUAGAUACCCCUGUAGUC